GGGUGCCACCGUUGCCGCAGGCUGGAGAGAGAUUGCUCCCAGUGAGGCGCGUACCGUCUGGGCGAGGGCUUCAUUCUUCCGCGGCGUCCCUGGAGGACUGGAGACUGAUGCAUGAGGGGGCUACGGAGGCGCAGGAGCGGUGGUGAUGGUCUGGGAAGCGGAGCUGAAGUGCCCUGGGCUUUGGUGAGGCGUGACAGUUUAUCAUGACCGUGUUCAGGCAGGAAAACGUGGAUGAUUACUACGACACCGGCGAGGAACUUGGCAGUGGACAGUUUGCGGUUGUGAAGAAAUGCCGUGAGAAAAGCACCGGCCUCCAGUAUGCCGCCAAAUUCAUCAAGAAAAGGAGGACUAAGUCCAGCCGGCGGGGUGUGAGCCGCGAGGACAUCGAGCGGGAGGUCAGCAUCCUGAAGGAGAUCCAGCACCCCAAUGUCAUCACCCUGCACGAGGUCUAUGAGAACAAGACGGACGUCAUCCUGAUCUUGGAACUUGUUGCAGGUGGAGAGCUGUUUGACUUCUUAGCUGAAAAGGAAUCUUUAACUGAAGAGGAAGCAACUGAAUUUCUCAAACAAAUU
rnacentral:sRNA from 1 species